rnacentral:rRNA from 1 species
CCUGGUUGAUUCUGCCAGUAGUCAUAUGCUUGUCUCAAAGAUUAAGCCAUGCAUGUCUAAGUAUAAGCAACUUUAUACUGUGAAACUGCGAAUGGCUCAUUAAAUCAGUUAUAGUUUAUUUGAUGGUACUUUGCUACAUGGAUAACUGUGGUAAAUCUAGAGCUAAUACAUGCUUAAAAGCCCCGACUUCUUGGAAGGGGUGUAUUUAUUAGAUAAAAACCAACCCUUCGGGUCCCUUGGUGAAUCAUAAUAACUUUUCUAAUCGCAUGGCCUUGUGCCGGCGAUGCUUCAUUCAAAUAUCUGCCCUAUCAACUGUCGAUGGUAGGAUAGAGGCCUACCAUGGUUGCAACGGGUAACGGGAAUAAGGGUUCGAUUCCGGAGAGGGAGCCUGAGAAACGGCUACCACAUCCAAGGAAGGCAGCAGGCGCGCAAAUUACCCAAUCCCGACACGGGGAGGUAGUGACAAUAAAUAACAAUAUAGGGCUUUUAAAGUCUUAUAAUUGGAAUGAGUACAAUUUAAAUCCCUUAACGAGGAACAAUUGGAGGGCAAGUCUGGUGCCAGCAGCCGCGGUAAUUCCAGCUCCAAUAGCGUAUAUUAAAGUUGUUGCAGUUAAAAAGCUCGUAGUUGAACUUCAGGCCUGGCCGGUCGGUCCGCUUAACAGCGUGUACUGCUUGGCCGGGCCUUCUCUCUUGGUGAUCCGGCAUGCUCUUUACUGGGUGUGUCGGGGAACCAGGAUUUUUACUUUGAAAAAAUUAGAGUGUUCAAAGCAGGCCUAUGCCCGAAUAUAUUAGCAUGGAAUAAUAAAAUAGGACGUGCGGUUCUAUUUUGUUGGUUUCUAGGAUCGCCGUAAUGAUUAAUAGGGAUAGUUGGGGCAUUAGUAUUCACAUGCUAGAGGUGAAAUUCUUGGAUUUUGUGAAGACUAACUACUGCGAAAGCAUUUGCCAAGGAUGUUUUCAUUAAUCAAGAACGAAGGUUAGGGGAUCGAAAACGAUCAGAUACCGUUGUAGUCUUAACAGUAAACUAUGCCGACUAGGGAUUGGACGAUGUUUAUCUUGACUCGUCAGCACCUUACGAGAAAUCAAAGUCUUUGGGUUCUGGGGAGUAUGGUCGCAAGGCUGAA